rnacentral:rRNA from 4 species
AAAUUGAAGAGUUUGAUCAUGGCUCAGAUUGAACGCUGGCGGCAGGCCUAACACAUGCAAGUCGAGCGGUAGCACAGAGAGCUUGCUCUCGGGUGACGAGCGGCGGACGGGUGAGUAAUGUCUGGGAAACUGCCUGAUGGAGGGGGAUAACUACUGGAAACGGUAGCUAAUACCGCAUAACGUCGCAAGACCAAAGUGGGGGACCUUCGGGCCUCAUGCCAUCAGAUGUGCCCAGAUGGGAUUAGCUAGUAGGUGGGGUAACGGCUCACCUAGGCGACGAUCCCUAGCUGGUCUGAGAGGAUGACCAGCCACACUGGAACUGAGACACGGUCCAGACUCCUACGGGAGGCAGCAGUGGGGAAUAUUGCACAAUGGGCGCAAGCCUGAUGCAGCCAUGCCGCGUGUGUGAAGAAGGCCUUCGGGUUGUAAAGCACUUUCAGCGGGGAGGAAGGCGAUAAGGUUAAUAACCUUGUCGAUUGACGUUACCCGCAGAAGAAGCACCGGCUAACUCCGUGCCAGCAGCCGCGGUAAUACGGAGGGUGCAAGCGUUAAUCGGAAUUACUGGGCGUAAAGCGCACGCAGGCGGUCUGUCAAGUCGGAUGUGAAAUCCCCGGGCUCAACCUGGGAACUGCAUUCGAAACUGGCAGGCUAGAGUCUUGUAGAGGGGGGUAGAAUUCCAGGUGUAGCGGUGAAAUGCGUAGAGAUCUGGAGGAAUACCGGUGGCGAAGGCGGCCCCCUGGACAAAGACUGACGCUCAGGUGCGAAAGCGUGGGGAGCAAACAGGAUUAGAUACCCUGGUAGUCCACGCCGUAAACGAUGUCGAUUUGGAGGUUGUGCCCUUGAGGCGUGGCUUCCGGAGCUAACGCGUUAAAUCGACCGCCUGGGGAGUACGGCCGCAAGGUUAAAACUCAAAUGAAUUGACGGGGGCCCGCACAAGCGGUGGAGCAUGUGGUUUAAUUCGAUGCAACGCGAAGAACCUUACCUGGUCUUGACAUCCACAGAACUUAGCAGAGAUGCUUUGGUGCCUUCGGGAACUGUGAGACAGGUGCUGCAUGGCUGUCGUCAGCUCGUGUUGUGAAAUGUUGGGUUAAGUCCCGCAACGAGCGCAACCCUUAUCCUUUGUUGCCAGCGGUUCGGCCGGGAACUCAAAGGAGACUGCCAGUGAUAAACUGGAGGAAGGUGGGGAUGACGUCAAGUCAUCAUGGCCCUUACGACCAGGGCUACACACGUGCUACAAUGGCAUAUACAAAGAGAAGCGACCUCGCGAGAGCAAGCGGACCUCAUAAAGUAUGUCGUAGUCCGGAUUGGAGUCUGCAACUCGACUCCAUGAAGUCGGAAUCGCUAGUAAUCGUAGAUCAGAAUGCUACGGUGAAUACGUUCCCGGGCCUUGUACACACCGCCCGUCACACCAUGGGAGUGGGUUGCAAAAGAAGUAGGUAGCUUAACCUUCGGGAGGGCGCUUACCACUUUGUGAUUCAUGACUGGGGUGAAGUCGUAACAAGGUAACCGUAGGGGAACCUGCGGUUGGAUCACCUCCUUACCUUAAAGAA